UGGGGAAUAUUGCACAAUGGGCGAAAGCCUGAUGCAGCAACGCCGCGUGAGUGAUGAAGGCCUUCGGGUUGUAAAGCUCUGUCUUUUGGGACGAUAAUGACGGUACCAAAGGAGGAAGCCACGGCUAACUACGUGCCAGCAGCCGCGGUAAUACGUAGGUGGCAAGCGUUGUCCGGAUUUACUGGGCGUAAAGGAUGCGUAGGCGGAUUUUUAAGUGAGAUGUGAAAACCCUAAGCUUAACUUGGGGACUGCAUUUCAUACUGGAAAUCUAGAGUGCGGGAGAGGAGAAUGGAAUUCCUAGUGUAGCGGUGAAAUGCGUAGAGAUUAGGAAGAACACCAGUGGCGAAGGCGAUUCUCUGGACCGUAACUGACGCUGAGGCAUGAAAGCGUGGGUAGCAAACAGGAUUAGAUACCCUGGUAGUCCACGCCGUAAACGAUGAGUACUAGGUGUAGGAGGUAUCGACCCCUUCUGUGCCGCAGUUAACACAAUAAGUACUCCGCCUGGGAAGUACGAUCGCAAGAUUAAAACUCAAAGGAAUUGACGGGGUCAUAGCUGUUUCC
rnacentral:rRNA from 1 species